rnacentral:rRNA from 1 species
AUAAUACUCCAUAGAUUAGAGACACUGGAAUGUUCUGUAGUCGAAAGUUCUGGCGCCUUAGGAUGGAUCUGCGGUCGAUUAGGUUGUUGUUGGGGUAACGGCCCAACAAGCCUGUAAUCGAUACGGGUUGUGGGAGCAAGAGCCCGGAGAUGGAAUCUGAGACACGAUUCCAGGCCCUACGGGGCGCAGCAGGCGCGAAAACUUUACAAUGCAGGAAACUGUGAUAAGGGAACUCCGAGUGCCCGUAUACGCGGGCUGUCCAGGUGUUUAAAAAUCAUCUGAAGAAAGGGCCGGGCAAGACCGGUGCCAGCCGCCGCGGUAAUACCGGCGGCUCGAGUGGUGGCCACUAUUAUUGGGCUUAAAGCGUCCGUAGCUGGACCGAUAAGUCUCUUGGGAAAUCCGCCGGCUCAACCGGCGGGCGUCUAAGGGAUACUGUUAGUCUAGGGACCGGGAGAGGUGAGAGGUACUCCGGGGGUAGGAGUGAAAUCCUGUAAUCCCCGGGGGACCACCGAUGGCGAAGGCAUCUCACCAGAACGGCUCCGACAGUGAGGGACGAAAGCUGGGGGAGCGAACCGGGAUUAGAUACCCGGGGUAGUCCCAGCCGUAAACUAUGCGCGUUAGGUGU